rnacentral:rRNA from 1 species
GGGGAAUUUUCCGCAAUGGGCGAAAGCCUGACGGAGCAAUACCGCGUGAGGGAGGAAGGUCUGUGGAUUGUAAACCUCUUUUGAUAGGGAAGAACACAAUGACGGUACCUAUCGAAUCAGCAUCGGCUAACUCCGUGCCAGCAGCCGCGGUAAUACGGAGGAUGCAAGCGUUAUCCGGAAUUAUUGGGCGUAAAGCGUCCGUAGGUGGUUAAUCAAGUCUAUUGUCAAAGCCUGGGGCUUAACCCUGGAGAGGCGGUGGAAACUGGUUAACUUGAGUGCGGUAGGGGCAGAGGGAAUUCCCAGUGUAGCGGUGAAAUGCGUAGAUAUUGGGAAGAACACCGGUGGCGAAAGCGCUCUGCUGGGCCUGCACUGACACUGAGGGACGAAAGCUAGGGGAGCGAAA